AGAGUUUGAUCAUGGCUCAGGAUGAACGCUAGCUACAGGCUUAACACAUGCAAGUCGAGGGGCAGCAUGGACCCAGCUUUGCUGGGUUUGAUGGCGACCGGCGCACGGGUGAGUAACGCGUAUCCAACCUGCCCACCACUUGGGGAUAACCUUGCGAAAGUAAGACUAAUACCCAAUGACGUCUCUAGAAGACAUCUGAAAGAGAUUAAAGAUUUAUCGGUGAUGGAUGGGGAUGCGUCUGAUUAGCUUGUGGCGGGGUAACGCCACAAGGCGACGAUCAGUAGGGGUUCUGAGAGGAACGGUCCCCCANAUUGGAACUGAGACACGGUCCAAACUCCUACGGGAGCA
rnacentral:rRNA from 1 species